rnacentral:rRNA from 1 species
GUAGGUGGCAAGCGUUGUCCGGAAUUAUUGGGCGUAAAGCGCGCGCAGGCGGUUCUUUAAGUCUGAUGUGAAAGCCCACGGGCUCAACCGUGGAGGGUCAUUGGAACUGGAGAACUUGAGUACAGAAGAGGAAAGCGGAAUUCCACGUGUAGCGGUGAAAUGCGUAGAGAUGUGGAGGAACACCAGUGGCGAAGGCGGCUUUCUGGUCUGUAACUGACGCUGAGGCGCGAAAGCGUGGGGAGCAAACAGGAUUAGAUACCCUGGUAGUCCACGCCGUAAACGAUGAGUGCUAAGUGUUAGGGGGUUUCCGCCCCUUAGUGCUGCAGCUAACGCAUUAAGCACUCCGCCUGGGGAGUACGGCCGCAAAGGCUG